ensembl:lncRNA
ACUAAAUACCCGUGAAGGCAGAGAGAAAGACGAAACCUCACUCAGUGCGGGGAAACAGCUGCCAACCUCAUGCCAGAGUCUGGGAGGAGCCGUACUGAUGACAAUGGUGGGGGACGGCGUUGGAGAGAAGCCUCAGGACACAGGGACAGGGACAAAGCCCGCCCUUCUGCCUCGUGCCUCCUCCGGGCCCAGGCCCCACGCCUUCAGCCCCCAUAAGGGCCCCCACCAACGACUCUGGCUCCAGCUCCGCUUCAGGCCCGACAUCCCAGCCAGCGGCACGCAGGGCCCAGACGUCUCCCAGCGCCUGAGCCUGACUCGGGGCUCAGCAAGCGCACGCCCUUGGCUGGGGCCUCCACCCCUCUCAGUGUUCUCACCUGUCAAGUGGGCCCCUCCUGGCCGUGGGAUUCCUCCCAGAAAACCCUGCGGCCGAAGGACUCAGGGGAAUGAAGAGCAGGCGUUCAGUCCAAGUGCACAUCCUGGAGCAGCUCCCCAGGCUCACUUCAGUCCAGCGGGGGUUCUCCCACAGCAGCUGUUCCUGCCCUCUCCACACCGAUCACACGGGAGGAACGUACUUGAAAUCAGACCCAAACUCCUCUCCGUGGCCUGCACACCCCUCCUUCCCUCUGCUCCAGCUGACUUUCUGCUCUUCUUACACGCCAGGCAUAUUCUUGCCUCAGGGCCUUUGCAUCUGCCAUUCCCUCCGCCUGGCCUACUCUGUCUCUAUGUCUCUAUGGCUGGGCCCUGCUCAUCCUUCAGCUCAGAGACCCCCCCCCACCCACGGAGGCCCUGCUCACUGUGCUCUCUCUGUACUCGCUCAGUCCCUCACUAACACGCCACUUAUCAAUAACUAAAAUUAUCUUAACGUUUUUGUCUACGGGGCUCUUGUUUGUGUCUUAAUCACCACGUAGAAGGGACUCAAAGCUUUGUAGGAAAUGAGGGAGGGAGGGUCCAUGGAGAUCGACCUGGCUUGCUGGAUUCCAACCUGCACAGUUCCAUUUAUUAACCACUUACUCUGUGCCAGGGCCCAGCCCAAACUCUAGCGAGCGGGUGACCCUGGGCAGCACCUCUCAGACCCCCAGCUCUCCACCUGCAGAGUGGAAGGCAGCCCCGAGGCUCUGAGGGGUCCUCCCCUUCAUCUCAGGCUACCUGAGACUUGGCACUCUGAAGAGCCCCGGGGAGGUGGGACCUCCUGAGGCCAGCUACUCUCCCGCACCCGCCUUAGCAGGGAGCACCUUUGCGCUGGAGGACACCUCCUCCGGGAGGCCUCUCGGCUGGGCCUCUCCUGGAGCCCUGGCCACACCAUGAUUGCUUACUUCUCCCUGCCUCAUUAGCUAUGUGCUCGCAGAGGCUGAACCAGCUCAGUGGGGGACACCCUGCAGUGCAGUCCGGAGCUCGCCCCCUGGGCCAAGGUCUGGGAUGGGUCUUCCAACUCCCCCGCGGACUUGCUCGCCACGGGAAGAAGUCACGCCCUUCUGUGCAUUUUGGGAGCCCUGGGAGCUGUGUACCGGCCCCAGGCGCACCGGACUCCGGCAGCCCUUGCAGGACGUUCGAGGCCUCUCCUGGUGUUUGCGCGGAGGCCCGACGUCGUGAUGGUGGAGCGUCUGCGCCUCUGCGAAGGCAGCGCCCGGGGUCCGUGUUUAUUUCAGCUGCGGCGUCCCUGGGGCGCCUCUGGAGGGGGCGCGGACGGCAGAGCACUGUGUGGGCAGCCAGCUUCCCUGUCUUCACUCUUCCCACCCAAGCCCCCGGGGAAAACAAUCCCCACCCGCCAGAAGCCUGGCGAAGCCGCCGAGCUGGAAAAGCCGGUUCUGGGAAGGGAAGGGGGGCGGGCGCUCCCGAGGCGCCAGGGCCGCUGCCGCGAGCUCUUCUCCCCAGCCCGGCGGCCCUUGGCCUCCCAGGGCGGUCCCUCGGAGGUUCCUUCUCCGGGAGGCCGGCUGCUGCCAAGGCCACCUGAGCAACGACCCCUGCAGGGUCCUGGCGCUCCUGGGGGCCGCUGGGAAGGGACAGUUCCUGCACCGGCGGGGAGGGGCGGGGCGAAGGGCCCCCCGGGCGCUGGGUCAGAGCCAGGCCUGGGGGCGCAUCUCGGCGCGGGGGCCGCGGGGUGGGGUCGGGGCGGGUGCCGAGCGCCCGCGGGGUGCCCAGCUCUGCCGCCGCCGGGCCUCGGACCGGCCCCGGGUGGCGUUUCCUCCGCGGGGCCGCCGCGCACGCGCCCGGCUGCCGGGAGCGCACCGCGUGUGCCCAGCGCGCCAUGGCCGGGCCGGGCGCGCGCUGUCUGUGCCUGACUGUUUCUUUCACUAGAGGUUGCUCACUUUCGCUUCUUGGGUCCUGGCGGCUCCUCGGGCGGCUCCGUGAGCGCGCGCGCGCGUGUGCGUGUGCGCGUGUGCCCGCACGCGCCCGGCGAUCGCCCCCGGCCGCCCUGCGCCCUGCAGGAACGUUCGCCCCGCUGCGUCCGUCCGUGAACAGGCGUCCCCCCUCCGCUGCCUCCGACUCUCCCCACUUGCUGGGUCUUUACAAAAACUAUUCGCCGCUGAAGCCGCUGCCACUUCUCCUGACCCCAGAGGCCUCUGUGCGUCCCCGCCACCCCCAACAGGAAACCGAGGCCAGGAUGGAUGGAGUCUUGCUCCACUGAGCAGGAAGCCACAUCCUGUGGAGGCUGGAGACUUUUGCUUGAAAAAGUCCCUGCCCCGGCGCCCGCCCGCCUGCAGCCGAGAGGGGAGCUUCCAGACGGGGGUGAGGCCCCCGCACCCACUUCAGCCGCCUGAGCCUGGCUCUGUGUCUGGUGAACUGGCCAUCCUUCCUUCUCCCCAGCAGGCGAGCCAUGAAGAACGGGCCCCGCAGGGCCGGCCUGCAGCCUCAGCCGAGUGCGUCCACAGCCAUUAGCGGGAGGCCCCAGCCUGGCUGAUCAGGGCCAACGCACAGCCCACCCCUCACUCUGCUCCCGGGGGGGCUGCCCGGCAAAGCUCCACCCUUGGGGAGAGAACAGGAGCUGAGAAGGAAACGGAGGUUCCAGGGCCAGCAUGGACGUUUGUGUAGGUUGUUCACUGCACAAUGGGGCUGCUCAGGGGGCAUGUGGAGCUGCAGUUCAGCCAGCCCUCACUCGCCGGGCGGAGGGCCCUGGCACCAGCUGCGUCCGCACAGGACAUGGUGCCUGCUCCUGAUCCAUUUGAAGGAGCUCCAGGGGAGGGCUGGGCCUGCCUUGGUCUUGGGAAGACGCCACCUGAGAACUCGAGGCCCUACCUCGUCCCUUUUCUUAAUUGCGUUUUUACUGACUUCUUUUUGGAGCACAUACGUAUGUAUUUUAUCACAUGGGUGCAUUUGUGUAGCCACUGCCACAAGCAGGAUACACAACAGUUCCAUCACCCCAAAACUCCCUGGUGCUGUCCUUUUGUCAGCACGUCCCCCCUCUUUCCUGACCCCUGGCAGCCCCUGGUCUGUUCUCCGCGGCCGCAGUUUUCCCUGUAGACGGUGGAAGCAGACAGUCCGGGCUGAGAUGGGCCUCUCCUACGCAGCGUCCGGGCCCGAGACCCACCCGGGUUGUUGUCUGUAUCAGUGGUUUGUGCCUUUUUGGUGCUGAAUAGCAGCACGUGGUGUGGACGCCCCAGUGUGUUUGUCCACCCACCCACUGAUGGGUGUCCGAGCUGUUUCCAGUCCCGGGCUGUCACCGAUCCAGCCACUGUGGACAUUCAUGCCUCUGUGUCCAUGAACACACACGUCUGUGCACGGAGCUGUGUUUCCUGGCUCUGGGAUCGAUGCCUGGCGGCAGACAGCUGCCACAUGGCAAGAGUUUGACUAACUUUCUAAGAACUUGCCAAGCGGUUUUCCAGAGCAGCUGUGCCAUUCUGCACCUUCGUCCUUGGUGUCUGAGUUCUGGUUGCUCUGUGUGCUUGUCAGCACUUGCUAUUGUCAGGAUUUAAUAUUUUAGCCACUGAGUGGCGUGGAGUGGUGUCUCGUCACGGUUUUGAUUUUCACAUCCUGGUGGCUAAGAAUGUUGAGCAUCUUUUCAUGCCCCUAUUUGUUAUCUGUGUAUCUUCUCCGAUAAAGUGUCUGUACAAGUCCUUUGCCCAUUUUUAAACUGGGCUUUCUUUUAGCUGUCGCGUUUUCAGAGUUCUUUAUACCUUCUGGAUACAAGUCCUUUGUCAGAUGUGGAAUUUGCAAAUAUUUUCUCACGACCUAUGGCCUGUCUUUCCAUUCCCUGAACAGUUUCUUUCACAAAGCAAAAGUUCUUAAUUUUGAAGAAGUAAAAUUAAUCUUUUAUGGAUUGUGUUUUAUUUCCAUGUCUAAGAACUCUUUGCCUAACCCCAAGUUCCUAAGAUUUUCUCCCAAGUUUUCUAAAAGUUUUUUUUUUUUUUUUAAAGAUUGGCACCUGAGCUGACAUCUGUUGGCAAUCUUUUUUCUUCUUCUUCUUCUCCCCAAAUCCCCUGGUACAUAGUUGUAGACUCUAGUUGUGGGUCCUUCUAGUUGUGGCAUGUGGGACGCCACCUCAGCAUGGCUUGAUGAGCGGUUCCAUGUCCGCACCCAGGAUCCGAACCAGCAAAACCCUGGACCACCCAAGUGGAGUGCGAACUUAACCACUCGGCCACAGGCUCACCAUCUAAAAGUUUUAUAGUCACAGAUCUCACAUUUUGGGUCUAUGAUCCAUUGUGAGUUGACUUUUUGUAUAUGGUCUUCCUUCCUUCCUUCCUUUCUUUCUUCCUUUUUCUUUUCUUUUCUUUUCUUUUCUUUUGUAGAUGGAUGUCCAACUAUCCGUCAGUAUUUAUUACAUGAAUGAUUACAGCAGUUGAACACUUGUUUUGUUAAAAAAAGAACCUCAACCUAAACUUCAUAUCUUAUACAAAAUUUAACUCCCGGUGGAUCGUAGACUUAAGUGCACGAGGUAAAGGCGACAGGCGACCACGUCUGUCUCCUGUGAGACUCUCAGCCCAGCUCCACUGGCAGCUGACGUCGAAGUGGUGAGACUUACGCAGCACAAAGGGUAAAUCAAGUGAGAACCCUCUAUGGCCACACUUGCCGUGUCCGGGUUUGAGGACGGGAGUGAGGGACCCAACAGUUACCAAACGUGAACUCUGCACCGAGUACUCCACUCAAUGCUUUCUUUGCA